rfam:Ictidomys tridecemlineatus contig005800, whole genome shotgun sequence.
GGGGUUGUGGCACAGUGGUAGAGCACUCACCUUGCAUGUGUAAGACCCUGGGUUCGAUCCUCAGCACCA